GGUGGAGCAUGUGGUUUAAUUCGAUGCAACGCGAAGAACCUUACCUACUCUUGACAUCCAGCGAAUCCUUUAGAGAUAGAGGAGUGCCUUCGGGAACGCUGAGACAGGUGCUGCAUGGCUGUCGUCAGCUCGUGUUGUGAAAUGUUGGGUUAAGUCCCGCAACGAGCGCAACCCUUAUCCUUUGUUGCCAGCGCGUGAUGGCGGGAACUCAAAGGAGACUGCCGGUGAUAAACCGGAGGAAGGUGGGGAUGACGUCAAGUCAUCAUGGCCCUUACGAGUAGGGCUACACACGUGCUACAAUGGCAGAUACAAAGAGAAGCGACCUCGCGAGAGCAAGCGGAACUCAUAAAGUCUGUCGUAGUCCGGAUUGGAGUCUGCAACUCGACUCCAUGAAGUCGGAAUCGCUAGUAAUCGU
rnacentral:rRNA from 1 species